rnacentral:rRNA from 1 species
AUGAACGCUGGCGGCGUGCCUAAUACAUGCAAGUCGAGCGAACAGACGAGGAGCUUGCUCCUCUGACGUUAGCGGCGGACGGGUGAGUAACACGUGGAUAACCUACCUAUAAGACUGGGAUAACUUCGGGAAACCGGAGCUAAUACCGGAUAAUAUAUUGAACCGCAUGGUUCAAUAGUGAAAGACGGUUUUGCUGUCACUUAUAGAUGGAUCCGCGCCGCAUUAGCUAGUUGGUAAGGUAACGGCUUACCAAGGCAACGAUGCGUAGCCGACCUGAGAGGGUGAUCGGCGACACUGGAACUGAGACACGGUCCAGACUCCUACGGGAGGCAGCAGUAGGGAAUCUUCCGCAAUGGGCGAAAGCUUGACGGAGCAACGCCGCGUGAGUGAUGAAGGUCUUCGGAUCGUAAAACUCUGUUAUUAGGGAAGAACAAAUGUGUAAGUAACUAUGCACGUCUUGACGGUACCUAAUCAGAAAGCCACGGCUAACUACGUG